rnacentral:rRNA from 1 species
UACGUAGGGGGCAAGCGUUGUCCGGAUUUAUUGGGCGUAAAGAGCGUGUAGGCGGCUUGGUAGGUCUCGCGUCAAAAACCUGAGGCUCAACCUCAGUUCGCGUGGGAAACCACCUAGCUAGAGUCCGGAAGAGGAGAACGGAAUUCCCAGUGUAGCGGUGAAAUGCGGCAGAUAUUGGGGAAGAACACCAGUGGCGAAGGCGGUUCUCUGGGACGGUAUGACGCUGAGACGCGAAAGCGUGGGGAGCGAACAG